rnacentral:lncRNA from 1 species
UUGUUUCAAUGCAUUACAAAUAACUAAUUUCGGUAGACAAGAAUACAUAUCAGUUAUGUUCAGAGUGAUUCCAGAUAAUGUAAAUUUGUGAUAUUUUCAACAUGUAAAUAACUUCUAUUGGUUCUGUUGAGAAUAUGGAUCAGAACCUAUUAUUAGAGUUUAUUGUAGUAUUUAUGGUUAUGAUUGUUAUGAUUUUAAUUAUAGGAAUUAUGGGAGGUUACAGAUUUAUGUUGUCUGUUACAAAUUUAUAGGCAGUUUUUCUUUUGUUUAUUUCUGAUUAUGAAUUUCUUGUAUUUAAAGGUUGUUAGAAGGAAUGAAAUUUGUGUGUUUCAGUCUUCAGAACUCAUAAGUCUGCUUAAUUUCUUUUCUAAAUUCCAACAGUGGUAUCAAGAGCAUUCUUGUUCUUGAGGGACCUGGUGAGGUUGAGAGUUCCGCUAAACACCCAAACACUUACCAAAGAGUUGAAAAUGCACUCUGAUAACUCAGCCAUAAAAUUGCCAAUCUUUGAGGGUGAGAAUUAUCACCUAUGGGCAACCAGAAUGGAGGCUUAUCUUGACGCUCAUGAUCUUUGGGAGGCUGUUGAGGAUGAUUAUGAGAUUGAGCCAUUACCAGACAAUCCAACAAUUGCACAAAUAAAAAAUCAUAAGGAGAGAAAGCAGCGAAAAUCGAAGGCAAAGUCUUAUCUAUUUUCUGCUGUUUCUGAAGCAAUCUUCACAAGAAUCAUGACUCUGAUGUCAGCAAAAGCAAUUUGGGAUUUUCUCAAACAAGAGUAUGAAGGAAAUGAGAAAGUCAAAGGGAUGCAAGUGCUGAAUUUGAUCAGGGAGUUUGAGAUGCAGCGGAUGAAGGAGUCAGAAACAAUCAAGGAGUAUGCUGACAAACUUCUAAGCAUUGUCAACAAUGUGAGGUUGCUAGGAGGUGAGUUUUCUGAUAUAAGGAUUGUCCAAAAAAUCCUUGUAACUGUUCCUGAAAGGUUUGAAUCCACCAUUUCCUCUUUGGAAAAUUCCAAAGAUAUGUCAACAAUUACUUUGUCAGAAUUGGUGUAUGCUUUGCAAGCCCAAGAACAAAGGAGACUUAUGAGGGAGGAAGGCACAAUUGAAGGUGCAUUGCAAGCUAAACUGAAGCUCAGUCAAAGUCACAAAGGAAAGAAGAAAAAGGGCCAAUGGAACAACUCAGAGAAAGGAGAAAGUUCCAACAAAUGGAGCAGUAAAGCUGAUGACGAGAAGACAAAUAAUCCCGCAUGUCAGCAUUGCGGAAAAAGAAAUCAUCCACACUUUAGAUGCUGGAAGAGGCCUGACAUACGCUGCAACAAAUGCAACCAGCUUGGACACAUUGCAAAAAUUUGCAAGAACAAAAGGCAGGCUCAAUCUGAAGCUCAAGUGGCUGAUCAACAAGAUGAUGAGGAGCAGUUAUUUGUAGCAACUUGUUUUUCCACUAACAACCAUGGUGAAAGUUGGCUAAUUGAUAGUGGAUGUACACAUCAUAUGACCAAUGAUGAGGAGUUGUUCAAGGAGUUGGAUAAAACAACCAUUUCAAAAGUCAAAAUCGGCAAUGGAGAGUGCAUUUCAGUUAAAGGAAAGGGCACAAUUGCAAUUGAAAGCUGCUCAGGUACUAAAAUCAUUACUGAUGUGCUUUAUGUACCAGAUAUUCAUCAAAAUCUGUUGAGUGUUGGGCAAUUACUUGAAAAAGGUUACAAAGUGUUGUUUGAAGAUAAAAUGUGUUUAAUUCAAGAUGCAAACGGGCAUGAUCUGUUUAAGGUCAAAAUGAAGGGAAAAAGCUUCUCUUUAGAUCUUAUGGAAGAGGUGCAGGCUGCUGUUUCAAGUCCAAUCAGUGCUACUGAGCUUUGGCAUAAACGAUUGGGACAUUUCAACCAUGCUGCACUGCUGUAUGUUAAAAAACAUAAUAUUGUGGAAGGCUUGCCAUCAUUAGAAGACUAUGUCAGUAGCUGUAGUGCAUGCCAAUACGGGAAGCAAUUCAGGCUACCAUUUCCUCAAUCAAAUUGGAGAGCAUCACAAAAAUUGCAGCUGAUUCAUACAGACCUCGGAGGACCACAACCUGAAAUAUCUUUAAAGGGAAGUCGAUAUUACAUUGCCUUUAUUGAUGAUUUUACUAGAAUGUGCUGGAUUUAUUUCUUGAGAUUUAAGUCUGAAGUUGCAGAAGUUUUUUGGAGGUUUAAGACUUGGAUUGAAAAUCAAUGUGAUUGUAAAAUUCAAGUCAUAAGGUCGGACAACGGAAAGGAGUAUGUAUCAGAUCAAUUUAAUUCUUUUUGUGAAGAGGCGGGAAUUGAACACCAGCUUACUACUCCUUACACUCCACAGCAAAACGGAGUAGUCGAGAGGAAGAAUAGAACAAUAAUGGAGAUGGCUAGAUGUAUGAUGCAUGAAAAAGGCCUUCCAAAGAAAUUCUGGGCUGAAGCUGCUAAUACAGCCGUGUUUCUAUUAAAUAGGCUUCCUACAAAGGCUGUUCAAGGAAAAACUCCUUUUGAAGUAUGGUAUGGUCAUAAACCUUUUGUUCAAAAUCUUAAAGUUUUUGGAUGUAUUUGUUUUACUCAUGUGCCAAAGGUGAAAAGAGACAAGUUAGAUAAAAAGGCAGAGGUAGGAAUCUUUAUUGGCUAUAGCACAACUUCAAAGGCUUAUAGAGUCUUUCAACCACAAACUGGUAAGAUUCUAAUAAGUAGAGAUGUUCAUUUUGCUGAAGAAAAACAAUGGAGUUGGGAGAAAGAUAAUCAGAAUCAAUUUUCUGAUUUAUCUUUAAUGAAAGAUGAACAUAUAGAUGAUCCACCUGUUAGAGGAACUAGAUUGCUUUCUGACAUUUAUGAAACGUGUAAUGUUGCUGUGUUAGAGCCUGAAAAUUUUGCAGAAGCGAAAAAGGAUCCAAAGUGGAUUGUUGCAAUGCAGGAGGAGCUUAACAUGAUUGAGAAGAACAAAACAUGGGAAUUGGUUUCUAGACCCCAACACAAAAAUGUUAUUGGUGUAAAGUGGGUGUUUAGAACCAAACUCAAUGCAGAUGGCUCCAUUAAUAAGCACAAGGCCAGACUUGUAGUGAAGGGUUACGCUCAAGUAUUUGGAGUUGAUUUUUCCGAAACAUUUGCACCAGUGGCUCGGCUUGAUACAAUCAGAUUGGCCCUUGCUUUGGCAGCACAAAAGGGUUGGAAGGUGUUUCAACUAGAUGUGAAAUCUGCUUUUCUCAACGGUUAUUUGCAAGAGGAGAUAUAUGUUGACCAACCAGAAGGAUUUGAAGUUGAAGGGCAGAAAGACAAGGUUUAUUUGCUGAAAAAAGCCUUGUAUGGUUUGAAGCAGGCUCCAAGGGCCUGGUAUAGCCGGAUUGAUGAGUACUUGCUGAGUAUUGGCUUUACAAAGAGCCUCAGUGAGUCAACUCUUUAUGUGAAGUGCUUGAGUUCUGAUAUUUUAAUUGUUUCUCUGUAUGUGGAUGAUCUUUUGGUUACAGGAAGCAAUAAUGUGUUUGUUGAAGAGUUUAAGCAAGAUAUGAUGAAGGUCUUUGAAAUGACUGAUUGUGGAGAAAUGGCAUUUUUUCUCGGAAUGGAAGUCAAACAAAAUGAAAAAGGAAUCUUUAUCAGUCAGAAGAAAUAUGCAAAAGAGAUUUUGAAGAAGUUUCAGAUGGAGAACUGUAAGCAUGUGGAUACUCCAAUGGUUCUUAAAUUGAAGCUAGGCAAGGAAGAUGGUGCAGAAAAGGUUGAUGAGACUGAUUUUAGAAGUCUUAUUGGCUGCCUCAUGUACCUUACAGCAACAAGACCUGACAUUAUGCAUGCUGUGAGCAUUCUCUCAAGAUUCAUUCAUUGUGCAAAAGAAGUGCAUCUUCAAGCUGCUAAACGUGUGCUUAGAUAUAUCAAAGGUACUCUUGAUUAUGGAGUAUGGUUCAAUUACAAUCAAGACUUUAAUUUUCAUGGAUUUUCUGACAGUGAUUGGGGAGGAUCAUUGGAUGAUAUGAAAAGCACAUCAGGUUAUUGUUUUACACUUGGUUCUGGAAUGUUUUCUUGGUCUUCAAAGAAACAAGAUAUUGUAGCACAGUCAACUGCAGAAGCAGAAUUCAUUGCUGCUGCUGCAGCUGUUAAUCAAGUUCUGUGGCUGAGAAAAAUUCUAGUUGAUCUACAAAUGACUCAAGCAGAACCAACUAGGGUGUUUGUAGAUAAUCAAGCAGCAAUUGCAAUCUCUAACAAUUCUGUCUUUCAUGGGAAGACGAAGCACUUCAAUAUUAAGCUCUACUUUCUUAGAGAAGUCCAAAAGGAAGGAGAAGUCUUGUUACAAUAUUGCAAGACAGAAGACCAAUUGGCAGACAUCUUUACAAAGACUCUUUCAAAAGGAAGAUUUGAGAACUUGAGAGAGAAGCUUGGUGUCAAUAGCUUCUGAUCCAAGGAGGAGUGUUGAGAAUAUGGAUCAGAACCUAUUAUUAGAGUUUAUUGUAGUAUUUAUGGUUAUGAUUGUUAUGAUUUUAAUUAUAGGAAUUAUGGGAGGUUACAGAUUUAUGUUGUCUGUUACAAAUUUAUAGGCAGUUUUUCUUUUGUUUAUUUCUGAUUAUGAAUUUCUUGUAUUUAAAGGUUGUUAGAAGGAAUGAAAUUUGUGUGUUUCAGUCUUCAGAACUCAUAAGUCUGCUUAAUUUCUUUUCUAAAUUCCAACAGGUUCUUCCAUGCAAUAAGAACCAAUAGGGAAGCAAAAAUUAUGUUGCAAGCAUCUUAAAAGGAAAAAAAGACUCGUAGACAAUUAUAAAAUUCAAAAGCAAACCUAAGACGAAAAUAAA